rnacentral:tRNA from 1 species
GGGGGUGUAGCUCAUAUGGUAGAGCGCUCGCUUCGCAUGUGAGAGGCACGGGGUUCAAUUCCCCGCACCUCCA